GAAAUGCGAUAAGUAAUGUGAAUUGCAGAAUUCAGUGAAUCAUCGAAUCUUUGAACGCACCUUGCGCUCCUUGGUAUUCCUUGGAGCAUGCCUGUUUGAGUAUCAUGAAAUCUUCAAGGUAAAUCUUUUGUUAACUCAAUUGGUUUCUACUUUGGUAUUGGAGGUCUUUGCAGCUUCACACCUGCUCCUCUUUGUUCAUUAGCUGGAUCUCAGUGUUAUGCUUGGUUCCACUCGGCGUGAUAAGUUAUCUAUCGCUGAGGACACUGUAAAAGGUGGCCAAGGUAAAUGCAGAUGAACCGCUUCUAAUAGUCCAUUGACUUGGACAAUACUUUUAUGAUCUGAUCUCAAAUCAGGUAGGACUACCCGCUGAACUUAAGC
rnacentral:misc_RNA from 1 species